AUACAAACGUCUCUUAACACGGUUAGUCGCACUAGCUGUUCUUAAGUUAAAGUCAAAAGUUGUAUUUGUUAACAUUAGCUAAUACACUGUGAAGUGAACUAACAAGAACAAACAUCGAACAGCUGUAUUUUUAUUAACUAACAAAGUUUAAUAAACACUGUAUCAAAUGUAUUGCUCAUAGUUAAUGUUAGUUAAUACAUCAGUGUCAACAAAUGAAACCUUAUUGUAAAGUGUUACCCUCGAAAAAUAUGUUUUGCCUGAUAGAGAAAAAUAUAUAGUUGACAAAACCACUAAAUUAUAAAAUUUAAAAAUUAGUCAGAAGAGUUUAGUAACCUUAUGUUAAGUGACAUACACACAGAGCUUUAUCCACUAAAACAUUUAUUUAGCUUUCAGUUUCAGUCGCCAAUUUAAAUAGAUAGAUAGAUAGAUAGAUAGAUAGAUAGAUAGAUAGAUAGACCACUCAUUCAUUCAUUCUGUAGUAGCAGCCCAUAGAACAGAAUCCAGCAAACUCUUUGUCUGAAUAGAAAGCUGUGAAGACCCCCUUCUUUCCAUGGCUACAGUAUCCAGUGGUGUUUCUGUAGAUGCAUCCUGCUGAGCUCAAACUCACUCUGUAGGUCUUCCUCACAUCUGGACUGACAGACUUCCAGUCAACCAUACCUACACAAGAAAAAAACAAAUGUUGAGAGAUUCAAACAAAAAGUAACCAAUAACUAGAACUAAAUAUAAAAUAAAAAAGACUGCAAGUGUUGUCACUAGCAGAAGCGCAAGUAUCUGAGAGUGCAAGUGCAAGUCUGCAGCCUGACCCUUCUUCAUUAUAUUAUAAUAUAAUUGUACUGCAGACUCUUCACUGAGACAGUCAUUUUUGUUACCAAAAGUACAUAUGAUUCCUGUGCAUGUUUUCUAAAAGAAUGGAAUCACAAAAAAGGUGACUGGCACUCAUCUAUACCAUAGGUUAUACUAAUUUUUGGUUCAACAUGUUGGAUUAACUUCAAAAGAGUGAAUGUCCUCCGAGUGCACUUUGGGCAAUGGUACAGUUGAGGCAUGAGGAUCGAAUACAAAAGGCUGAUCACUCAGAGGAAAGUUACUGGCAGUGCUUGUCUCCAUCUUCUAAUGUUGAGAAUGUGCCUCUGAAGGAAAGUCAGUGUUUUUCUCAGGUGUGGUGGAUAUGCAAUGUUGAAAGCAGAAUACAUCCAGAAGGCUGUUAUGAAGGCUUCACCAAGGCUGGUGCACUGGCACACGUCUAUUCCAUCUUCUGUCACCACACUGAACCCUCCUCCUAUGAUUGACAUUUUACAGUCAGUAUCCAUCAGCUGUAUGAUAGGAAAGAGUGUAGCAGGGUCCCCCUUCAUAAAAAAAAUAAAUAAAAAAUAAUAACUAAAAAACAAAAAAGAAACGCUUUUCAAAUUCAUCAGAUUCUGUUCCAUCCUCUUUGGCUCAGACAGAGUAGCUACAUACAGUGCAGAACUGCAAAAACAAUCAGAAGCUAAUGUAUAAGGGUCACAAUAUACAAUGCAUUUCAUGUUCCCUUUCGAAAGCUUCAGUCGAUGCUGCGCUGCUCAGCGCAUUGGGAAACGUCUUGUUCGUGACCAGCUGUGAAUAAUGUGUGUAACACGUCGAUAGAAUUGACCCGGCGGUAAUAUAGCCUCGGUUGAUGACGUCAUCUGAGCG
ensembl:lncRNA